AUUAGUCGGCCAUAUUUUAAUUUUGAAUCACUCGUAUUUGUGUUUGUUCAGUGUUCGUUGUGAUUUUAAUUUUAUUGUGUUAUUCCCUACGUUUUGGCUUGUUUACGGACUUUUUGAUCUUCUACGUGUUACGACAUCACCUGGAUUGUUAUUUGGACCCCGGACUGAUUGCAUGACUGUUAACUUGGCUCUUUAUUACACGGAUUACAAUUUUUGCAAUUUUGAUUAAGUAUUUUAAAAUGCCGAAAUCAGCUGAAUUAAAAUGUUAUUUCAAAUGUGAUAUUGAUGGACCCUUACAUCGCUUUCCCAAAUGGGAAUAUCCUCAUACAGAGAAGUUAAACCAAUGAAAAUUUUGAAAUUUUGAUAGGAAUGAUCAUGUUAAAAAACAAGCAUCCGAUUAUUAUAAUAAAAGAUGAAAAUAAACAACAGUUUUAUAAAUUCUA